rnacentral:rRNA from 1 species
CCUACGGGUGGCAGCAGUGAGGAAUAUUGGUCAAUGGGCGAGAGCCUGAACCAGCCAAGUCGCGUGAAGGAUGAAGGCUCUAUGGGUUGUAAACUUCUUUUAUAUGGGAAUAAAGUGUGGAACGUGUGCCUUUUUGUAUGUACCAUAUGAAUAAGGAUCGGCUAACUCCGUGCCAGCAGCCGCGGUAAUACGGAGGAUGCGAGCGUUAUCCGGCUUUAUUGUGUUUAAAGGGUGCGUAGGUGGUUAAUUAAGUCAGCGGUGAACGUUUGUGGCUCACCCAUAAAAUUGCCGUUGAAACUGGUUGACUUGAUUAUAUUUGAGGUAGGCGGAAUUCGUGGUGUAGCGGUUAAAUGCAUA